UGUAGGAGUGAGCCUGCUCGCGAUAGCGAUGUAUCAGUCUCCGCCUGUUUUGACUGAUAGAUUGCAAUCGCGAGCAGGCUCACUCCUACA
rnacentral:misc_RNA from 1 species